CCAGGCAGUGCAGAGCACCUGGUAGGCAUUCUGGAUGGGCUCCUGGUCUCCCCCUGACGACCGGUCCUUCCCGCCCUGGAGUUUCUGCGUUGCUACGCUGACUAUCCUCAUUAAGAAUUAGAGUGUAUCUCUUGCUGGGCCUGAGGAUAAGAAUUUCUCAAGAAAGUUUCAUACUCCAUGAACACGCAGAAGGGAAGUUCUCUCUGUCUAAAGGCGGGCAUCACUGACGGUACCUCCAAAUCCUAAUCAUCUCCAAGGACCACCACAUUGGGGGUUAGAGCACCAACAUAUGAAUUUUGCGAGGACAUAAAUAAUCGGUCCGUCGCAACCUCCGUGUGACAGGACAGCACAGCAGACAGUCUCUGGUGGAAUUUACUUGAAGCCUCUUCCUCUUCCUGCUGCCGUGGGCCACGGAGUAAUGGAACAGCUCUCCUCCACCAGUUUACUCAAGAUGAGGUGGAGGCCGAUUCAGGGGGGUCAUCAAAUAGCGGAGUGAGGCUCAUCCUCGUAGGUCUAUGUGAGAACAAUUAGUGGCAUUCUUAGCAGAUCUCCGAGGAUCCAAGUAUAAUGGUGAAAGCGACAAGAUGCUCUGAGACCACCAAGGAGCUCUAGCAGUUUUUGAUUCUGUAAAGAGAAACGUCUACACCAGAGUGGCAAUCACAGCCCAGGGGUGACAGCCGCGUUUCAGACCAGGAGUGGGCUGUUGGAAAAACACUCCCAUUCACAACGUCCGAUUCCUUCAUGGGGUCCCUGCCCCCGCCAUUUUAUCCUCUAAUCUGCAGCCAAAUUUGUCAUCCUAAAAAUGCAAAUCCGGUUACAUAAUUUCCUGGCUUAAAAUCCUCUACCUAAACAUUAAAAUGGGACUCGAGACUUUUAAAUUGCUUACAAGCGACUUCAAGCUAUGGUCGCCCUCUGCUUAGCUCUCCAGCAUCACCUUGUACGGAUGCCAGGCUCCACAUCAGAGAUUAAGCUCGACCUGCUCGUGAACGCGUUGGUUCCUGUAAUUUACCACGCUUUCUCUCCACACAGGCCUUGAAUGUGCUGUUCCUCCCGGCCUAGCACAGUUCUUGCCCCCGCCAAACCUCCUCCCCCACUCUGCUCGGAAAAUUCCACUGAGACAAAAGCACAGAGUUUGUGACCUGCCUGAAGGAGCAGGUCCAAGGGCUGGGACAUCCAUCCACCUCCCAAAGGGAAGCACUCUGACCUCUGGCUUCUAAUUCCAGGCUCUUUUCUUUAUGAUUCCUGCUACCCUUAGGAAUAUUCCCUACUGUUUCCUACUGUUGGGACAGGCACGUUCACACUGUUGGUAAGUGUGAAUUGGAGUGGCCAAAAAGGUGCAUGAACCAUUUCAAUUCUGACAAAAGAAGAAACUCGGGAGCUAACAGGAAAGACAAAUCAUUUGAGAAAAAAAACUUGACUGUAGUGUGACAGACACUGUAAUACUGAUUUUAUUAUUUUUACUGACUGCAGAAAAGUGCUAAAAGCAGAAGCUGGUUCCUUUUGUUUGCAGCAAAAAAUAAGAUCAAAGGCAGUCGCGGAGCCAGAGAGCCCUCUCAUUAUCAUUGAUUUUCUGUUGUUUCAUUGAUCCUUAAAUUAUAUGAAAAUAGCUUGAAGUUAGAGUAAUGAAUCAUUUAAUCAGAAUUAGAGAUGUCUUAUUUAUCUGUUGGCUGCAGUCAUGUUAAAAAUUGCGCUGACUGAAGGAUAGCAGUUAAUUUAUUAAAUGACUUAUAUAUGUGUAUCGUAUGUCAUACAUAAUAUACGAUACAUACAAUACAUGCAUAUACAUACAAAAACAUGCUUAUUUCACUGCCGAUAGUAUAUGUUAAGAUUAGGAUUAUUUCAAGUUUGUAUGACAUGAUUUUAAAAAUAGAACAUUUUGAAUCCUUGUACUGAGAUAUAUUUGAGCGUUGAGGGGAGGUCAAUUUUGAAAGUUCUUGAUGGUUAGAAGAAAACCUCCAUUUUCUGUUCCAUUGACAUGGUUAAUCUGUGAAAACUACAUAUGGUGAAUAUUUUAUGUCUGAACAUAAAACUAGGUCUAGUAAAGCUAGAAGCCAAGCAGGUCAAGGAUGGUUUGGGAUUAAGAAAAAGAUUGGGAAUGGAAUAGAUGUAGAGGUGAGGAAUGGGAGGAAGCAGGGGUAAUGAUAAAGGCUGUUAUAAAGUUAUAAGAGAGGAGAGAGAUCAAGUGUAUGUGAUUUCUACCUUCACAAAACUAUGACACCUUUGUCCUUUUCGUUACAAAUGCUGCCGUUAAAUUGUGAUGUCAUCCAGUCUCAUAUGAAUAAAAAUAAAUGUUAAAGUCCUUUCAAUAAACCUAUUUCCUCAAUUUUUGCCAAAGCAAAGUAAGAAGAAAUGACAACAAAAAUAAGUAAGCUACAUUUGAAUAUCAAAAACCACAGAACGACUCUAUUUAAGGUACUCUUCACCUAAACCAUUAUCCCAGUGAGCAAAUAUUUAUGGUAACAAGUUAUACACCUGAAAGUGUAGGUCCAAGAGUACUAAUCAAGCAUUUACAUGGGAAUUAUUUGGUGGUGGGUUGAUAAUAAGAUGGAAGUCAGUACCUGAUUGUUGGCAAACCACCAAUAAAUGCCAAUCCAUAGUUCCAUGCUAGAAUUUUUCCCAAUUUUAUUUCCCACCUUAUCACAAAAUAAUUUUCAAAUGUUCCCCGUACUAUGACCGAUUUACAUCAUUUAAAGAAGAUAAAAUUUUCAAGUAUGACAUUUUAAUAUCCAGAGAUAGAGUGCGUAUAAGUUUAGAAGUAAUUUUUGUGGGCUGAUAAGCAUUAGACCCACCCUUCAGAUCUCCAUACUACGUGUAUACAGAAAGGGUCUGUAGAGGAGGAGCGUGUCUAGUCUAUUUGGGUUGGUAAAUUUAAAACUGCCUUGGGGCU